UCAGUAUUGAUGCAGAUUUGGGUGGGGUUACACUGGUGAGAAUCGGAAGCACAUUCAUCAAUAUCAGCACACUGAUUGUUUUCAUCCAACUGGUAACCAAAUCGACAAAUCAGAGGUCUUGUAACAGUAGGGUAGUUGGGAACAGGGCCUGGCGCUGGGGGUGGUGGAUAAAUAUUUGAAUAAGGAUUCAGAUAUGGUGAUCGAUACACUGGGUUUGUCCGUGGUACACAUAAAUAGCCACCGUUCUGGUUGACACACACCAUGUCUCCUCUACAGGCC
rnacentral:lncRNA from 1 species